rnacentral:rRNA from 1 species
UACGUAGGGGGCAAGCGUUGUCCGGAAUCAUUGGGCGUAAAGAGCGUGUAGGCGGCCCGGUAAGUCCGCUGUGAAAGUCCAGGGCUCAACCCUGGAAUGCCGGUGGAAACUGUCGGGCUAGAGUCCGGAAGAGGCGAGUGGAAUUCCUGGUGUAGCGGUGAAAUGCGCAGAUAUCAGGAGGAACACCAAUGGCGAAGGCAGCUCGCUGGGAUGGUACUGACGCUGAGACGCGAAAGCGUGGGGAGCAAACAGG